GCAGCCAGCUCCCGGCGCGCCGCGGACUGCACCACGGGUAGUGUGACCACCAGUUGUCGCUGGGCCUUAUUGAACAGCGCCUUCCCGUGACUGUCGUCCACUGGAUACGGGAGCGAGAGCCGCAGCUGGUAGUCGGGUUUCCUCGAGUCCAGACACAGCAGCUUUCCCGUCACCUCCAGCGCCGCCUGCUCUGCCGAGCGCAACAGCGGCAGCUCGAUGGUAACCACCAGCUCCUGAGGCACCGGGCUGGGGGCCGAGUCCCGGGAACAGCGAUGGGGACAGUACAACUUUGAGAGGCUGACAACCUGAUCAAGAACAUAGCCAGAAGGACUGAAGAGCAACACAAAACCAAGCCUAAUUCCAGACUGGGCACCCUUAACCGCUUUGAUGAUACUCCUUGAGAAAUGGAAGUGUGUCAUCCCUUGGCAGAGUGCUAAGCACAUCGAAGAUGGGCCGUUUGAUGAAACAAGCUGCCACGUUGGGGAGGCCCAAAUGGCCAGGAACUAAGGGUGGCCUCCAACCAACAGCCUGCAAGGACCCAGGCCCGAGGCCCACCAAUCCUGGAUGAACUGAAUAUUACCAUGCACCAAAAAGCUUGGAAGUGAAUCCUACCCUACUGACAUCUGAGAUGACCCCAACCUGACUGUAGCCUUGUGAGAGACCUAGAAGCUGAGGACCCAGCUAAGCCUGCUUAUUACGGACCCACAGGAAAUGUGAGAAAAUAUUAAGUAUGUACUGUUAUAAACUUCUACAUUU